GAUGAACGCUGGCGGCGUGCCUAAUACAUGCAAGUCGAGCGAACGGACGAGAAGCUUGCUUCUCUGAUGUUAGCGGCGGACGGGUGAGUAACACGUGGAUAACCUACCUAUAAGACUGGGAUAACUUCGGGAAACCGGAGCUAAUACCGGAUAAUAUUUUGAACCGCAUGGUUCAAAAGUGAAAGACGGUCUUGCUGUCACUUAUAGAUGGAUCCGCGCUGCAUUAGCUAGUUGGUAAGGUAACGGCUUACCAAGGCAACGAUGCAUAGCCGACCUGAGAGGGUGAUCGGCCACACUGGAACUGAGACACGGUCCAGACUCCUACGGGAGGCAGCAGUAGGGAAUCUUCCGCAAUGGGCGAAAGCCUGACGGAGCAACGCCGCGUGAGUGAUGAAGGUCUUCGGAUCGUAAAACUCUGUUAUUAGGGAAGAACAUAUGUGUAAGUAACUGUGCACAUCUUGACGGUACCUAAUCAGAAAGCCACGGCUAACUACGUGCCAGCAGCCGCGGUAAUACGUAGGUGGCAAGCGUUAUCCGGAAUUAUUGGGCGUAAAGCGCGCGUAGGCGGUUUUUUAAGUCUGAUGUGAAAGCCCACGGCUCAACCGUGGAGGGUCAUUGGAAACUGGAAAACUUGAGUGCAGAAGAGGAAAGUGGAAUUCCAUGUGUAGCGGUGAAAUGCGCAGAGAUAUGGAGGAACACCAGUGGCGAAGGCGACUUUCUGGUCUGUAACUGACGCUGAUGUGCGAAAGCGUGGGGAUCAAACAGGAUUAGAUACCCUGGUAGUCCACGCCGUAAACGAUGAGUGCUAAGUGUUAGGGGGUUUCCGCCCCUUAGUGCUGCAGCUAACGCAUUAAGCACUCCGCCUGGGGAGUACGACCGCAAGGUUGAAACUCAAAGGAAUUGACGGGGACCCGCACAAGCGGUGGAGCAUGUGGUUUAAUUCGAAGCAACGCGAAGAACCUUACCAAAUCUUGACAUUCUUUGACAACUCUAGAGAUAGAGCCUUCCCCUUCGGGGGACAAAGUGACAGGUGGUGCAUGGUUGUCGUCAGCUCGUGUCGUGAGAUGUUGGGUUAAGUCCCGCAACGAGCGCAACCCUUAAGCUUAGUUGCCAUCAUUAAGUUGGGCACUCUAAGUUGACUGCCGGUGACAAACCGGAGGAAGGUGGGGAUGACGUCAAAUCAUCAUGCCCCUUAUGAUUUGGGCUACACACGUGCUACAAUGGACAAUACAAAGGGCAGCGAAACCGCGAGGUCAAGCAAAUCCCAUAAAGUUGUUCUCAGUUCGGAUUGUAGUCUGCAACUCGACUACAUGAAGCUGGAAUCGCUAGUAAUCGUAGAUCAGCAUGCUACGGUGAAUACGUUCCCGGGUCU
rnacentral:rRNA from 1 species